rfam:Gossypium arboreum cultivar AKA8401 contig_3292_3, whole genome shotgun sequence.
UAUUAAAAAUUUAUCUAUUUAUACGGUUAAAACUGGAAUGACUGAUAGAUUAACCAAACAGUAAUACAUGGUAUGCCUCGUAUACCUCGUCCUGAUGUACAUGAACUAAUUUUUAAUAGUACAAAUAGAUAUUUAUAACA